rnacentral:rRNA from 1 species
GUGAGGAAUAUUGGGCAAUGGGCGAAAGCCUGACCCAGCCACGCCGCGUGAGUGAUGAAGGCCUUCGGGUUGUAAAGCUCUGUGGGGAGGGAAGAAAAAGCGGGAGAGUAACUGCUCUCGUGUUGACGGUACCUCCUUAGCAAGCACCGGCUAACUCUGUGCCAGCAGCCGCGGUAAUACAGAGGGUGCAAACGUUGCUCGGAAUUAUUGGGCUUAAAGCGCGUGUAGGCUGACAUGCAAGUCGGGUGUGAAAUCCCAGGGCUCAACCUUGGAACUGCACUCGAAACUGCACGUCUUGAGUACUGGAGAGGGAAGCGGAAUUCCGGGUGUAGAGGUGAAAUUCGUAGAUAUCCUGAGGAACACCAGUGGCGAAGGCGGCUUCCUGGACAGUAACUGACGCUGAGACGCGAAAGCGUGGGGAGCAAACAGGAUUAGAAGCCCGGGUAGUCC